AUCAUUACACAAUAACAAGGCGGGUUGGACACCCCCCCGCUGGGCACUGCUUCACGGCGUGCGCGGCGGGGCCGGCCCUGCUGAAUUAUUCACCCGUGUCUUUUGCGUACUUCUUGUUUCCUGGGUGGGCUCGCCCGCCCUCAGGACCAACCAUAAACCUUUUGCAAUAGCAAUCAGCGUCAGUAACAACGUAAUUAAUUACAACUUUCAACAACGGAUCUCUUGGUUCUGGCAUCGAUGAAGAACGCAGCGAAAUGCGAUACGUAGUGUGAAUUGCAGAAUUCAGUGAAUCAUCGAAUCUUUGAACGCACAUUGCGCCCUUUGGUAUUCCAAAGGGCAUGCCUGUUCGAGCGUCAUUUGUACCCUCAAGCUUUGCUUGGUGUUGGGCGUCUUUUGUCUCCAGUUCGCUGGAGACUCGCCUUAAAGUCAUUGGCAGCCGGCCUACUGGUUUCGGAGCGCAGCACAAGUCGCGCUCUUCGCCAGCCAAGGUCAGCGUCCAGCAAGCCUUUUUUUCAACCUUUGA
rnacentral:rRNA from 1 species